rnacentral:rRNA from 1 species
GUGGGGAAUAUUGCGCAAUGGGGGAAACCCUGACGCAGCAACGCCGCGUGCGCGAUGAAGGCCUUCGGGUUGUAAAGCGCUGUCAGGGGGGAAGAAAAGGUCUGGGUGAAUAGCUCAGGCUCUUGACGGUACCCUCGAAGGAAGCCCCGGCUAACUCCGUGCCAGCAGCCGCGGUAAUACGGAGGGGGCGAGCGUUGUUCGGAAUUACUGGGCGUAAAGGGCGUGCAGGCGGUGUGGAAAGUCCGGUGUGAAAGCCCUCGGCUCAACCGAGGGAGUGCAUUGGAAACUUCUGCACUUGAGUGCGGGAGAGGAGAGUGGAAUUCCCAGUGUAGCGGUGAAAUGCGUAGAUAUUGGGAAGAACACCAGUGGCGAAGGCGGCUCUCUAGACCGCAACUGACGCUGAGACGCGAAAGCUGGGGGAGCGAACGGG